AUGGCGACUGUCAUGAAUCACGAAGCAACUCUCCAGGUGACUUGGGGUAACCCCUGGGAGAUCUCUGCAGUACCCCUGGUCGUGAACCACCGACGUGCCCUGGGCAGAGCGGAGAUCCAGCAGCCCGUUUCCGCAGAGGCGGUGGAGGGAGAGAAAUUGACCCUGUUUUGCAAUCACCCUGACGUGGCCACCGAGAAGAUAAUGUGGUACCGCCACGUCCCCAGCGAGGCACCGCGGUUUUUGGCAGGUGGAUUCAGGGGAGAGACUCCCGGCACCGAAGCGGGCGGCACUUUAUACAUCGCUCAGAACAAAGCGUCCAGUGUCUUUGAGUUCCGCAGGGUGCGACUGGCGGACGCAGCUGUGUAUUACUGUGCUCUGAGCUACACAGCGUGA